rnacentral:rRNA from 1 species
GUGAGGAAUAUUGGACAAUGGGCGCAAGCCUGAUCCAGCCAUGCCGCGUGCAGGAAGACGCAUCUAUGGUGUGUAAACUGCUUUUGUACGGGAAGAAACACUCCCUCGUGAGGGAGCUUGACGGUACCGUAAGAAUAAGGAUCGGCUAACUCCGUGCCAGCAGCCGCGGUAAUACGGAGGAUACAAGUGUUAUCCGGAAUCAUUGGGUUUAAAGGGUCCGUAGGCGGUUUAAUAAGUCAGUGGUGAAAGCCCAUCGCUCAACGAUGGAACGGCCAUUGAUACUGUUAGACUUGAAUUACAAGGAAGUAACUAGAAUAUGUAGUGUAGCGGUGAAAUGCUUAGAUAUUACAUGGAAUACCAAUUGCGAAGGCAGGUUACUACUUGUGGAUUGACGCUGAUGGACGAAAGCGUGGGGAGCGAACAGGAUUAGAUACCCUAGUAGUCC